rnacentral:hammerhead_ribozyme from 1 species
AUCCAACUGACGAGUCUCAAACAGAACGAAGCAUGCGUUCUAGAU